rnacentral:rRNA from 1 species
GACGUAGGGGACGAGCGUUGUCCGGAUUCAUUGGGCGUAAAGCGCGCGUAGGCGGUUCGGUAAGUCGGGUGUGAAAACACGAGGCUCAACCUCGUGCGUGCAUCCGAUACUGCCGGACUAGAGGUAGGUAGGGGAGAUCGGAAUUCCUGGUGUAGCGGUGAAAUGCGCAGAUAUCAGGAGGAACACCGGUGGCGAAGGCGGAUCUCUGGGCCGGUACUGACGCUGAGGUGCGAAAGCGUGGGGAGCAAACAGG